rnacentral:rRNA from 1 species
UACGUAGGGUGCGAGCGUUGUCCGGAAUUAUUGGGCGUAAAGGGCUCGUAGGCGGUUUGUCGCGUCGGGAGUGAAAACUCAGGGCUUAACCCUGAGCCUGCUUCCGAUACGGGCAGACUAGAGGUAUGCAGGGGAGAACGGAAUUCCUGGUGUAGCGGUGGAAUGCGCAGAUAUCAGGAGGAACACCGAUGGCGAAGGCAGGUCACUGGGCCGCAACUGACGCUGAGGAGCGAAAGCAUGGGGAGCGAACAGG